rnacentral:lncRNA from 1 species
AUAUCCAAACGUGUGAGAGUUAUGCAAAUACAAACAAGGAUAAAUGAUUUUCAAAACGAUUUAUUGAACAGAAGCUGAAGAAGUGAAAAUGAAUGCAUUCAAGAGGAGAGAGGGUGAAAGAAGCAGAAUUUCUAGAAUGGUCUGAUUUCUGAAGUAUGAUGACAGUCAAUUUUUGAGCCAGUAUUGGUGCAAGUUAAGACCUUCAACACAAUGUUAUUACCGUGAUCAAACUCAAAAUUAUGGAUGGCUUGUUCAAGGCAGUUGAUCAAACAUGAUUUCCUCCAAGUUUGUAAGUUAAGUAAGUAAAUGUUUGUUGAAUGAGUAAAUAAGUCAAAAUUCAAACAUGUACAAUUUAACUCUCAAUAUGAUCAUUUUCUGAAAUACUAAAACAUUAUAU